rnacentral:rRNA from 1 species
UGCCAGCCGCCGCGGUAAUACGGAGGGGGUUAGCGUUGUUCGGAAUCACUGGGCGUAAAGCGCGUGUAGGCGGCUUGGCAAGUUGGUUGUGAAAUCCCGGGGCUCAACCCCGGAACUGCAACCAAAACUGCUGAGCUUGAGUCUCGGAGAGGGUGGCGGAAUUUCCGGUGUAGAGGUGAAAUUCGUAGAUAUCGGAAGGAACACCAGUGGCGAAGGCGGCCACCUGGGCCAAUACUGACGCUGAAGUGCGAAAGCGUGGGGAGCAAACAGGAUUAGAUA